CAUUAGCAUUUGUGGAUCCAGGGUUUCUAUAAAACAGCAGGCCACCAUGCUCAAGGGUGGGUGCACCAAUAUGUAAUGCAUGACUGUAAUAUCCUUGGUGAUGGAGUAUUACCAGUAUGUGAUAGACAAAACUUCCAUAUGGCACCUGAAAUGUAUAACUGUAUCAUUAUAUCUUUGAAAUGCUGUUUCAUUCAUUAUUUGUUUCUUUGCAAGGACAAAGCUGGUCAGAAUGUAGCGUGGAUAGAAGUUCUAUAAAGGGAAGAGGUUUUUAUUAGAUCAAAGUACUUAAAUUAUAUAAAGAUAACAACAAACUUGUGCUUUUUCAUUAAUAAAUUUGUAAAGAAAACAGUUUUAUAUCAAUCAUAAAGGUAAUAGGGAAAGGGAAAAAUACUAGGAAAGUGCUCAGUCAAGUUAUUAUUGCAUUAUUGUUAUAAAUGUUUUAGAAUAGAGUAACAUUUCUU